UCGAGUCCACUCGUGUCGAGUCCUCUCCUUAUGUCGAGUCCUGUCCUUGUGAAGUGUCUUCAACUUGUGUUGAUUACCUACCUUUCGAGUCCUCUCGUGUAGAGUCCUGUCCUUGCGACGAGUCUUCUCCUUGCGUAGAGUCUUCUCCUUGCGUAGAGUCUUCUUGCGUAGAGUCUUCUCCUUGCGUAGAGUCUUCUCCUUGCGUAGAUUACCUAUCUGACGAGUCCUGUGCUUGCGACGAGUCCUGUCCUUGUGAACAGUCUUCUACUUGUGUCGAUUACCUACCUGUCGAGUCUACUCCUGUCGAGUCA
rnacentral:lncRNA from 13 species